UCAAUCUCGUGCGACUAAACGCCGCCUGUCCCUCUAAGAAGAUAUAAUUUUACGCCGACAGUAAAAACCGAACACGGCCGCGACCCGAAAGCCGGACCGGCUGGCCUUUAAGAUGCCGGAAAAACGCCUAUUUAGUAGGCUAGAGUCUCGUUCGUUAU
rnacentral:rRNA from 1 species